rnacentral:rRNA from 1 species
AACGAACGCUGGCGGCAGGCUUAACACAUGCAAGUCGAACGCCCCGCAAGGGGAGUGGCAGACGGGUGAGUAACGCGUGGGAACAUACCCUUUUCUACGGAAUAGCUCUGGGAAACUGGAAUUAAUACCGUAUACGCCCUACGGGGGAAAGAUUUAUCGGGGAAGGAUUGGCCCGCGUUGGAUUAGCUAGUUGGUGGGGUAAAGGCCUACCAAGGCGACGAUCCGUAGCUGGUCUGAGAGGAUGAUCAGCCACAUUGGGACUGAGACACGGCCCAAACUCCUACGGGAGGCAGCAGUGGGGAAUAUUGGACAAUGGGCGCAAGCCUGAUUCAGCCAUGCCGCGUGAGUGAUGAAGGCCUUAGGGUUGUAAAGCUCUUUCACCGAUGAAGAUAAUGACGGUAGUCGGAGAAGAAGCCCCGGCUAACUUCGUG